rnacentral:rRNA from 1 species
UACGUAGGGGGCAAGCGUUGUCCGGAUUUAUUGGGCGUAAAGAGCUCGUAGGCGGCUUGUCGCGUCGUCCGUGAAAACUUGGGGCUCAACCCCAAGCUUGCGGUCGAUACGGGCAGGCUAGAGUUCGGUAGGGGAGACUGGAAUUCCUGGUGUAGCGGUGAAAUGCGCAGAUAUCAGGAGGAACACCGGUGGCGAAGGCGGGCCUCUGGGCCGAUACUGACGCUGAGGAGCGAAAGCGUGGGGAGCGAACAGG